UAAUAUGUAUUUAGUUGUUUGAAUGAGUCAUUUGUUCUUUUAAUUUGGAGACUCACUUCUCUUAAUUGCCUGCGUGAGAAAUCACUUGCUCCGGGACAAUUCGAGACUUCCUGUCUGAGCUUGAUGAAACACCUGCUGCACAUCUGGGCCUUGAUGACUGCAGCAGCGGAGCACAGAGACGAACCUGAGAAGAAGAAGAAGAAGAAGAAGAAGAAGAAGAAGAAGAAGCAUCAACCUUCGAUUGAACAGCCCCCAGUGAGCGGAAUGUGUUUCAAUAGGUUGAAUUGUGUGAUUGAAGAGCCGUGAAGCAUCAGUCUGGGCCUCUCUGCGUCUUGCUUCGCCAGCCACUGUGAAACUCAAAGCUACAUUUGAAACUUCUUCCUGGCCCACGUUGUCAUUCUCAUCGAAGAGCCGACCUACAAUCGACUGUCAGGCAAGACUGGAAAACACAUUAAAGGGGUUCUUUUCCUUUCCACCACCUGGAGCAAGAAGAUAUGAUUUGAAUGCAAAGUGAAAAGGAGGAUUGGCUGCUUCAGAACUUGCAGAUAAAAAGGGCUGUUCAGGACCAUGGGCUGAGGAAACCACUUCCCUACAUCAGGUCUUUCAUUAGUUCAUCAUUUCUCUGUGAUGUCAUCGAGCCGGAGACUGUACCAGGCGCACCAGCAGCAGAGGAGCUGUCCUUUCAGCACCACCACCUCCAACUAUGCACACUGUGUUUCUGCACCGGUGGCCACCAGCCUGUUAACACCGGGUGAAGGCUGUCCUUUAAGUGCUGCAGUUGACACAAGUGCCAAAAGCAAAGUCUAUGAACCACAGUGAUCUGUAAUUAAAUUGCCUGCAGUCAUUUAACGCAGCCGCGCUAUUGUCAAGCCUACAUAACUGCAGCGUAAUGGUUGGUGUUUGAGACUUGAUGGCACAAUGGACAGAAUUAAAGCGACUGCAUCCACAGAACUGGUCGUCACUUCGACAGGACUGUUCGGAUGGACUCCACCACCACUGUCCACAUCUCCGGGAAAAACCCCUGCAGCCUUCAGUAUGGUGCUGAUAUCUGAAAUCAGACAGACAUGUUUACAAGGGAACAAACUAGUCCACAGUUUUUUUUAAAUGUAAUCUGACGUUUGGACACUUGAUUGACAGAGUGUGCAGACUGUUACUAAAGUUUGAUAUGCCUCAAACGUUUUGUUGGUUGUUUUUCAAUGAGCAAUUUGCACCCAGGAGUCUCUGGAGCAGGAGUGAUUAAAUGCACUUAAACUUAUAAUCAAAUCAAGUUGUUAUAAUAGAUGAUUGUGUAAAAUUUUGUAUUGCAAUCCUUAUAUAAUUUAUUAAA